rnacentral:rRNA from 1 species
AGUGGCGAACGGGUGAGUAACACGUGAGCAACCUGCCCUUGACACUGGGAUAAGCGAUCGAAAAGUCGUCUAAUACCGGAUAUGACUCUCACAGGCAUCUGUGAGGGUGGAAAUGCUCCGGCGGUCAAGGAUGGGCUCGCGGCCUAUCAGCUUGUUGGUGAGGUAACGGCUCACCAAGGCUUCGACGGGUAGCCGGCCUGAGAGGGCGACCGGCCACACUGGGACUGAGAUACGGCCCAGACUCCUACGGGAGGCAGCAGUGGGGAAUAUUGCGCAAUGGGCGAAAGCCUGACGCAGCAACGCCGCGUGCGGGAUGACGGCCUUCGGGUUGUAAACCGCUUUCAGCAGGGACGAAGGGUUUCUGACGGUACCUGCAGAAGAAGCCCCGGCUAACUUCGUGCCAGCAGCCGCGGUAAUACGAAGGGGGCUAGCGUUGCUCGGAUUGACUGGGCGUAAAGGGCGCGUAGGCGGUUUGUACAGUCAGGCGUGAAAUUCCUGGGCUCAACCUGGGGGCUGCGUUUGAUACGUGCAGACUUGAGUUCGGAAGAGGGUCGUGGAAUUCCCAGUGUAGAGGUGAAAUUCGUAGAUAUUGGGAAGAACACCGGUGGCGAANGCGGCGACCUGGUCCGAUACUGACGCUGANGCGCGAAAGCGUGGGGAGCAAACAGGAUUAGAUACCCUGGUAGUCCACGCCCUAAACGAUGUCAACUAGUUGUUGGGGAUUCAUUUCCUUAGUAACGUAGCUAACGCGUGAAGUUGACCGCCUGGGGAGUACGGUCGCAAGA